rnacentral:rRNA from 1 species
UACGGGGGGAGCAAGCGUUGUUCGGAUUUACUGGGCGUAAAGGGCGCGUAGGCGGCUUAACAAGUCACUUGUGAAAUCUCCGGGCUUAACUCGGAACGGCCAAGUGAAACUGUCAAGCUAGAGUGCAGAAGGGGCAAUCGGAAUUCUUGGUGUAGCGGUGAAAUGCGUAGAUAUCUGGAGGAAUACCGGUGGCGAAGGCGGCAUCCUGGACCGGCAUUGACGCUGAGGAGCGAAAGCCAGGGGAGCAAACGGG